rnacentral:rRNA from 1 species
AUUGAACGCUGGCGGCAGGCCUAACACAUGCAAGUCGAACGGUAGCACAGAGAGCUUGCUCUCGGGUGACGAGUGGCGGACGGGUGAGUAAUGUCUGGGAAACUGCCCGAUGGAGGGGGAUAACUACUGGAAACGGUAGCUAAUACCGCAUAACGUCGCAAGACCAAAGUGGGGGACCUUCGGGCCUCUUGCCAUCGGAUGUGCCCAGAUGGGAUUAGCUAGUGGGUGGGGUAACGGCUCACCUAGGCGACGAUCCCUAGCUGGUCUGAGAGGAUGACCAGCCACCCUGGAACUGAGACACGGUCCAGACCCCUCCGGGAGGCAGCAGUGGGGAAUAUUGCACAAUGGGCGCAAGCCUGAUGCAGCCAUGCCGCGUGUAUGAAGAAGGCCUUCGGGUUGUAAAGUACUUUCAGCGGGGAGGAAGGCGAUAAGGUUAAUAACCUUGUCGAUUGACGUUACCCGCAGAAGAAGCACCGGCUAACUCCGUGCCAGCAGCCGCCGUAA